CUCAAUUGUGAAGUUUUAUUGCAACUUUAACUCUUCCGGUUAGAUUUUUUCUCGGUCAAACAAAACUGGAUAAUUUCCUGAAAGUGCUAUAGGUAAAUUUUCUAUUUCUUUAAAUUUAAAUGUUUGUAAUUUACAAAACAUUUUACUUUCGAUUUUUUUUUUAAACUUGAAAAGUGACCAGGUGACGUCAAAUGUACAUGUAUGUAGAUAAUUUUUUUUAUAUAACAUGUAUAACUUAUAAGGCUUAAUAUUAUUAAUAAUGCCUAUUAAUAAAGUUGAGGAAGGUCAUACUUAGGUGUUACCAGAGACAUAUAAUACAAUGUCUCGGGUGUAACCAAGGAGUACUGAUUUUGGCAAAAUUAAAACUACAGUCUAAACUAGUCCAAAUAAUUAUGACGUCUGGCAAGGCUAUUUUUAAUUUUUUCUGGGACGCCUUCCUACAACAUCGUAGGAAGGCGUCCCAGAAAAAAAUUAAAAUAGCCUGACGUUGCAGGAAGGCGUCCCAGAAAAAAAUUAAAAAUAGCCUUGCCAGACGUCAUAAUGAUUUGGACUAAGUCUAAACAUGCUAAAAUGAUUUUGUUUAUGUAUAUAAUAAUUUUUAAAUCUUAUAAUUAUAAACUUUAAAGAGGGUCUCAUUGGGGGAUCCGGCUUACUGGUUUGUCAGAUUCCCAUAUCCCGCUUACACUAUGUAUGUAAGCACAGUCGCUUGAAUUUUAGUGAUAUAUGUAUGAAAACCAAAAUUCAAGUGACUGUGAUGUAAGCAAUUCUAAUUUUUUUAUAAUUUCCUGUGUCCCGCUAGACUUCAUUUCCCGUUUUCACGGCACAAUAAUUUGACUUUCACCUGUCACACUUACAAUAAAUCAUCAAUCCCGCUUAGACCCCAAAUUAGUUUGCAAACUAGCAGCAGCAUUAAUACAUUGUAUACAUGUAUACCUUUCACAUUUGAUAUCACAACUGGAGGUUGGACAAUAAUUAAAUCUUCUACAAAUUGCCCCAAAUAUAUAGUGCUAUAGUGGUCUAGAAUCUGAAUCUGAAUAAGUACGUUGCAGGGCCAGUAUAUAGCAUCAAUGGCAACUGGAGAGAGGUGCUCUAUUAAAAACUUUCAGCACUUUUAAGACGUCAUUAGGCCAAAUAAAAAAUAUAUGUGUGGUUCCAGUAACCCUACCGUCCCUACUUUUUCCGCUUAAAAAUAGCCUACCCUAAAUUCUAAAGAUUUUAUUGUCAUUUUUCGUUAAGCACUGCUAAAGUCAGAAUGUUGCUCCCAUAGACUAAAUGUAAAAAAUAACCAUAAAAUAAAAAAAAAUCCCUGCCUACCUACAGUGACAUAUCUUAUUCAUGUCCAUAAAAAAAUUAUGUUCAACCAUGUGGCCCUAUAUGUUCAUCAUAUACCCCUGUCGCUUUAAUAAUACACAAGUAUUUAUCAAAAACUGUCAAGGGAAAGAAAUCUUGACUCAUUGAAGUGUUAAAGAUUAAAUAUCUUACAGUCAUGUCGUCCAGGUAAAUAACAGUAUGUGUGUUUGAUUUGAAAUUUAAUUUACCGUAUUAUCACAAGAAAAUUCAAAAAUAAAAUAAAAUAAAUAAAUAGUUGAAUAAAUAGCUAUUUUUGUUUAAUUGACUCAUCUAUUUGUUUUGACAUUAUACCUUUCUAAUCAAUUUAAGCUAUUUUUUGAACAUUACUUUAUGAUAAGGAGACUAAUGAAAAUCAUCUCAAAAUGCGAUGCCUUUCUAUGAAAAAAUUGUUUCUCAAAUUAAUUUCUUAAAUUAAAAUGAUUUAUAUUUAAAUCAUAGUAACAUGGUAAUAACUUAUCUGCCAUCAUACUGUUUUACAAAUGUUUAAAGAUUGUCUUAAGAAAAAAAAAAACUUAAUUCUAAAUAAAAUAGCAAUUCCUUAUUUCUCUAUGAAGAAAUAUACUUCAAAAUAAUUAAUUCAACCAAAAAUUUGAAAUAUUGUUUCAUAUAAACAUAUGGGUAUUUACGUGGACCAAAAAAAACACAACAAACAAACAAAAACACAAUGUAUAAUGCAAUGCAAAGAAUUAAACAAUUCUAUAAGAAAUUAAAACACGAUGGAUUUUUUUUAGUUUCUAGCACCUUCAAGUCUCUAUAAUGACUUGUUUUAUAAGGAGCCAAUAUUUUCCUCAUACAUAUCUCAUUAAUUAAAGGUUUAGCAUUUCUUUCACUUUUUGUCUAUGAGUAAGAGACAUUAUUAUGAGAAGGUAAACAAUUUUCAAUAAAUUAUCUCAAGUUUCUUUAAUUUUACAAUUAAGAAGGAGUGUCUUCAUUCGUCAGCAAGUGCAAGUUAUCAAUUCUAUCUUUUCUAGGAAUUUUAUAUUGUCACAUUUUCUAUUUUAAGUUAUGACCACUAACUCUCUAUGUGAACAUUUGCAGUAUACAGUUAUUUACCAAAGUUUUUAUCUUAAAUCUAUUUUCAAAAAGUUCUUAUAUUUUUCUUAAAUUAUUUUUCAUCAAUUUAAGUCUAAUUCAUUCAAGUCUCUGAAUUUGUAACUUUAUCUAAAAGACCUGGUUAGGGAAAUAUUAAUGUUUAUACAAGAUAUGAUAUCAUACCAGUCCAAAGGGGGGCCCCCCCAAAAAAACUUUCCAAAAAAAACAAUAUAAAGUAAUCAGGAAAAAAAAUGAUUUAAUAAUAUACCAUAAAAGUGUGUAACCAUCUAUAUAAGUGUAUUUUUAAAUUUGGCUUUUCUGACAGUAUUUAGCUAAACUUGAAGAUGUCGUAUUUAAUAAAGUUCACAUUUGUUUAAAAAGGCAAAAGAAGACAGUUUUUUCUUUAAAUAUUUUUUUGAAAAAGUCUCUUCAAACAUCAAAUGAAAGUCCAUUACGUUAACUCCUGAUUUCAAGAUUUAAAAAUAAAUAGACAAAACUAGUUUUUCCUAUUAAAACAGAUAAUGAUAUUUGUAGUUUUCCUGAAAAAUAAAUUUAAUAAAAAUUUAUUUAUAUAAGAGUAUUAUAUGUCUGAUCAUUUAUAAUGUUAAGAAACAGCUUGCUAAAAAAUUACUUCCUUCAUGGUUUCUUUAAAAUAUCAUUGCUUGAUCAUUAUUAUUAUUAAUGAAUAAUUCAUAAAAUUAAUUGCAAAUAACGAUUAAAUACAUUGUACAUUAAUUUUUUUUGCUUUUAAAAAAAAAUAAUUAAAGUCUCGUUAAUUGUCUUUCAAAUGCUAGCAAGUAACUUUAUCUUUAUAUAUUAUUGGUCUUUUUGCUCUCAAAUUCUAUUAAGGAUCCGGAAGACAUAAAAAAGAAUAAGAAAAAAAUCAUACAAAAAUUAAUAAGAACAAAUAAAAAAAUAAAAAAAAUGAGUUAUGAAUAAAUCAAAAGACAGAAAAAAUCAAAAAUAAUAUUAAUUAACAAAGACUUAAAACAAUGUCUAUUCUACAUUUCAAAAAAAAGUGAAAGCAAAUUUUGAAAAAAACCUAAGUUACCUUAAGUAAAAUUUUUAAAGAAAGACAAUACAAGUUGAAAACUUCAACCCUGAUUGAUACAACAGUAACAUUUUGAUAAAACAUCAACCUAUGUUUUAUGACCCCAAUAAAUGGCCAACAUCUCAAAAAAUUGAAACCCCAAUAAAUGCCACCAUUUGCAUGUGACCAUGCAACCAGGGGACAUAAUUAAGAGAAUGUCACAGGCUGUACUGUACCCUAACUUUUUUUCAGAUGUAACUGGAACCACACAUACUUUUUUAUUUGGCCUUAGUCCAAAUAAUUAUGAUGUCUUGAAAAGGCUUUUAUAUUUUUUUUCUUUGACGCCUUACAUCGCAGGGAGGCAUCAAAGCAAAAAUUUAAAAUAGCCUUCCAAGACAUCAUAAUUAUUUGGACUAAAUCGUCAUAUAUGCAUUCUGCAGGGUAGUAUAGAAAUUAUUUAUGUUCCAUGGCAUAAGUACAUGUACAUAAUCUUGAUUCCUGUAUGACUGAGGGACGAUCAUCAUCUUAUUCCCAAAUAGUUUGUGUGCAGUAAAUAAUCAAACUUUUUCACCCGUACUCAACAUGUGUUGGAAGUGACAAUGCCUACAUUUUUGUCACAUGAUGAUGGAAGUCAAAUGGCAGAUUCAAGCUUGCUUAUCGGUGUGAGCCAAGGCUCCAUGUUGAAUACCUUACUAUGACCUACAUGUAUAAUGGUUGACUUUUACAAAUUGUAACUUGGAUGGAGAGUUGUCUCAUAGGCACUCCUACCAGAUCUUCUUAUACAUAUCUAUAUCAUUUUUAAUUGUAUAUAUGUACCUGUAUCAUACAUCAGAAUGCAAUUUCUUAUAAUUGCGAUUCUCAAAAAGUCACUUUAUUCCCAUUAUAAAAAAAACUCCCAUUAAUUUCUGAAUUUACAUUAAUUGAUAAAAUAGAACCAAUUUUGUCUAUAUAACAAAGUAUAAUGCAAAGUUCUUUUCAUUAUUACAACCUGAAUAACUCCAGUAUGAUUGAUUGAUUGUUGUUCAACGCCAGUUUCAAGUGCCACUGUUAAUUUGGACUAUUUCGUUGGCGGACAGUUUUUAUUGGUGAAGAAAGCAAGAGUCCACAAUGAGAGAGAACCUACGACCUUUGAUAUGAAAACUACUUGUACCACUUAGCCAGCUAGGCCUUAGUAUGAGCAGGAGGUCUGUCUGUUUCAGAGGCAGAUUUAGGGGGCCCAGGCCCGCCCUUUUUCAGAAAAAGUUUGGUUGGAUAUAGGGAAUCACUGAUAAGCGUGACGGAAUCUGCCCCCCCCCCCCUUUAGGCAGUCAGUGGGCCCCAUCUUAUGAAAAUUACUAGAUCCGCCACUGUGUUUGUUUGAUGAUGUAAAUUGGAAAUGAUCAUUCCUUUGUGUGAGGUUGAUACUAGGAUUAUAUAUCCACCUGAAAGAAGUAUAUCUACUGAAGAUGAGAUCUGAGGUUGAUAUAUAUCCUCGUAUUGACCUCCUUCAAAGGCUAUGAUUUUAACAUUGAUAUUAAAGCAGAAAUACAAUGAUGUGUUGUUAUGAUUGUAUCACACAUGCCUAAAAUAAAAUAUUGUUUGUUUCCCUAAUCCUGACCGAUCCUGCAAAAACGGUCGGACUCAGAUUUUAUUGUCAAAACUAACUACUUUAGUUAGGACCUUCAAAGAGGGGAAUACAUUUUGCAUGUACAUAUUAUGCAGUCUGCACCAAAAACUUUUUCAACUACUAGUCCUGAAGACCAAUAUUCUGACAUUUUUCUUAUUUGGCCAAACAAAGUUUUGCAAAAUCUUACCAGUACGAAUAGAAAUUUCACUAGUCUGGGGCAUCGGACUAGUGGCUAACUGUGCAGACUGCGUAUGCUUUGCAGUUUUAAGAUGAGCAAGAUUAUUAAGUUAAAUUCAUAACCUUAUAAAGCAUUCAAUGUACAAAUGAAGUAGUGAAAUUUUUUUCUAAUGACUAAUAUACUGAUACAUUUUUGAUUACACAGACGUACAUUCAUUAUGGUAUGAUAAUAUUGAAUGUGGUGAAAACAAUUCAAAAAUUGUCAAAAUUCCUUCCUUCCUCAACAAUUGUAUGUCUACUUUAGAUAAGCCCACACAGUAUAUAUACAUGUACACUUUGAAAUUUAAAAUAUACUUCUUUGUCAAUUGAUAAAGUACAUUGUAACUGGUGUACUAUACUAAUAGUAAGCACUCAGGCUAGUGAAAUUUCUAUUCGUACUGGUAAGAUUUUGCAAAACUUUGUUUGGCCAACUCUGUUAUUGAAAGCCUCAAAUUUAUGGCUGUGAUAUUGUUAUGAAGAACAGCAAUAAAACCACCAUUCCUCAUUGUCCCCAGUUAGAAAUAAAAUGAGUCUGUCUUUCAGUUCUGUCUUGUUAUUAAGAGCUCUCAUGUGCAAAAAUGAUGUGUACGAUUCUUACCAGAUUUUUAUCAAAUUUAUAUGAAAAAGGUUUUAUUAAAAAUGUAGCAACUGUAAGACUUGUGCUGGACUAUGAAUUCUUGAGAAAAAAAACAAUGAAAAAGGGGUUAAAGCUUUUAUUGCAUAUUUUUAAAAUAUUUUUAAUUAAAUCUAUGGACACAGAUGAAAAUAUCAAAAUCCUCUCUAAUGCAAUCUACUUACUGGUGUUGUUUUUUUUAAGUUAUUUUUAGAUGCAGGUCCAGGAAAUGAAUUACCUAUAUACAUGAUAUAUAAACCUACAUGUAUAAAUAAAUUUACCUGGAAAUAAAUUAAAUGUCAUUAUGAAUUAGUACAUAUUUUAAUUCACUUUCUAUAAGGAAUAGGAAGAAAUUACAAGGAAAUGUUAUCUUAGUACAUUUGUAGUUAGGACAAUGUAGGAGGAAAUGAAACCAUUAUUAAUUUGAUUGUCUAGGUUGUGAUCUCAUUACUUGUGUAUUAGACUGAUAGAUAGAUACAUGUACAUGUUCAUUUCUUUCAAAUAAUAUACAGUUUUAAUUUACAUUUACUAUUUGUAAGUAUUGUUAUUUUAAGUAAAAUGUAAGAUAUUAAAAGCUUAUGUCUGGUCCAUCAGUAAGUAAUUUUAAAAAGCUAUAUGAAGAAGAAAAGGAAUUAGUAUAUAUCUUGAUCAUGUAUAGCAGAAAAAAAUAUUAUGUUUGCUUUGAUGAGAAAUCCUCCCCUUAAACUCCUGUCUCUCCUUCACCUGAAAUAAUGAGGGAGGGACUCUUUCCAAAAUAUUUCCCUGAUGUUUUAAAUUUUGUGUGCUUUAAUCCCUUUCGAAAAUUGUGAUAUAUACUCGCUGUGUUAAAGACCCAUUGGCGGUUUUUGGAUGUUUUCUACUCUUGUUUCUUUGAAACGUUCCCCAUUUCCAUUCUUCAAUUAGUAUUUAGUGGAUCAAGUUAAAUUACAUUUGCGGGUGUGUGCUGCUGUAAAACUCUUUUUUUUAAAUCUACAAGGGUCUCUAAGAUAUGGCUCUUCUAAACGGGUCAGCCUAGUCAAAAUUAUAAGUCUGGGCGGCUUUUUAUUUUUUUUUCACGCCUUCUACGACGUUGUAGGAAGGCGUAGAAAAUUAAAAGCCUUGCAGAGUCAUACAUUUGGACUAGGGUCACCAUUUAUCGUUUUGAGGAUUAUCAUGUUUCUUUGACAUACUUGGUUUUUUUUUAGGUAAAAUUUGUGUCAGUCAAGGCACAUGUCUGCAUUUAUUAUAACCUUAGACAUGAUACCAUCAAAUUUCUUUUUUUUUUUAGAAAAUGGCAUCAAGCAAGUUGUUCCUGGAUACAAUUUCCCAAAUAGAGGAGAAAAAACUACCUCCAAGACUGAAGAGGGAAUUCUUUGUCUGUGAUGAAAAUGACAAGAAUGCUGGACCAGUAAUAAGAGUAAUGCAGUGGAACAUCUUAGCCCAAGGUUUGUGUUGAUAAAGGG
rnacentral:lncRNA from 1 species